rnacentral:rRNA from 2 species
AUGGACGAAAGUCUGAUGGAGCAACGCCGCGUGAGUGAAGAAGGGUUUCGGCUCGUAAAACUCUGUUGUUAAAGAAGAACAUAUCUGAGAGUAACUGUUCAGGUAUUGACGGUAUUUAACCAGAAAGCCACGGCUAACUACGUGCCAGCAGCCGCGGUAAUACGUAGGUGGCAAGCGUUGUCCGGAUUUAUUGGGCGUAAAGCGAGCGCAGGCGGUUUUUUAAGUCUGAUGUGAAAGCCUUCGGCUCAACCGAAGAAGUGCAUCGGAAACUGGGAAACUUGAGUGCAGAAGAGGACAGUGGAACUCCAUGUGUAGCGGUGAAAUGCGUAGAUAUAUGGAAGAACACCAGUGGCGAAGGCGGCUGUCUGGUCUGUAACUGACGCUGAGGCUCGAAAGUAUGGGUAGCAAACAGGAUUAGAUACCCUGGUAGUCCAUACCGUAAACGAUGAAUGCUAAGUGUUGGAGGGUUUCCGCCCUUCAGUGCUGCAGCUAACGCAUUAAGCAUUCCGCCUGGGGAGUACGGCCGCAAGGCUGAAACUCAAAGGAAUUGACGGGGGCCCGCACAAGCGGUGGAGCAUGUGGUUUAAUUCGAAGCUACGCGAAGAACCUUACCAGGUCUUGACAUACUAUGCAAAUCUAAGAGAUUAGACGUUCCCUUCGGGGACAUGGAUACAGGUGGUGCAUGGUUGUCGUCAGCUCGUGUCGUGAGAUGUUGGGUUAAGUCCCGCAACGAGCGCAACCCUUAUUAUCAGUUGCCAGCAUUAAGUUGGGCACUCUGGUGAGACUGCCGGUGACAAACCGGAGGAAGGUUG